rnacentral:rRNA from 1 species
GACGAACGCUGGCGGCGUGCUUAACACAUGCAAGUCGAACGGAAAGGCCCAGCUUGCUGGGUGCUCGAGUGGCGAACGGGUGAGUAACACGUGGGUGAUCUGCCCCUAACUUCGGGAUAAGCUUGGGAAACUGGGUCUAUUACCGGAUAGGCCAACCGUUUGGUGUCGGUUGUGGAAAGUUUUUUCGGUUAGGGAUGAGCCCGCGGCCUAUCGGCUUGUUGGUGGGGUAAUGGCCUACCAAGGCUCCGACGGGUAGCCGGCCUGAGAGGGUGGACGGCCACAUUGGGACUGAGAUACGGCCCAGACUCCUACGGGAGGCAGCAGUGGGGAAUAUUGCACAAUGGGCGCAAGCCUGAUGCAGCGACGCCGCGUGGGGGAUGACGGCCUUCGGGUUGUAAACCUCUUUCGACAGGGACGAAGCUUUGGUGACGGUACCUGUAUAAGAAGCACCGGCUAACUACGU